rnacentral:rRNA from 1 species
GUUUACAGCCAUACCACCCUGAAUUUACUUGAUUUCCCUAUGAUCCAGGAAGCUAAGCAGGGUUGGGCCAGGUUAGUAAUUUAAAAGAAAUUUAAGGUCAUUCUCAGCU